AGAGGAGGCAAGGCAAGGAGAUUAAAUUCGUCAAAUUUUACACAAGUAUAAUUUUUAUACGGAGAGCCAUUUGAGCAUUUAUUCAAUACUACUGAUAUCAUAAUAGUUGACAUGCUGACUGAUGAAAUCCUUCCAUUUAACAAGUAAAUGUGCAGGAGACAACAUGACUCCAACACUAGGUGGGGCUAUUUCACAAUUUUUCAUUUCAAACACCUCUCCUGUGCAGGACGGUUGCAGCCAUGAGUGGGUGUGACGAGAGGGAGGUAAGAAAAAAAUAACUGAUGGUUUGGAGCACAGAAGUUUUACACAGAGAAGUUUUUACUGAAAAAUAAGCUUGUUGUAUGUCAGACAGAUUUUUGAAAUGUGAAAAUAAGAAGUAUGUAUGAAUUUUAAGGUAAUUUGUGUGUUUGUUUUGUGUGCACUAUAUCCACUGCCCACAAAUGUGUCAUGUUUCCAUGUAACCCUACGGCCCUUUUUUUGCUGUCACUGUAAGUUUUUCUCCAACGUUUCUCCUGUCAUUACAGCUCACUCUUAUGGUGCUGAUUUAUAUCCAAGAGUUCAUUUUACAGAUCAAUAUUCAGACAUUCAAGCUCACAGUGGGUGAAAAUGAAGAGUCAUCGUCUGCUCUAUAUACAGUUAAUCUUGCUGAUCACAUUACUAAAGAAAAUUAAUCACAGUGUUUAAGUCACAACUUGACUGAAAAAUUGUGUAACAGGUCAGGAUCUGAUAUCGAUGACAUGAUACUAUGAUACACUUAAAUGCUUUCUCUUGCUCAACAUUGAGGUCCUGUUGUAUCACAACCCAGUAAUGAAGAUGGUUAGCUCACAAAAAGAUGCUCCUGCAACACCAACUGGAAAUAAACUAAUAAAUAUAUUUUAAUGAGGAUUUAAAGAGUAUCAGUGAUAGAAGUAAAUGUGAGUCAGUCAAAGAAAUACAAACAAACAUUUCUCAAAUUUUCUCAAAGAACUAAAAGUUUGCUUCCCAGAAUUAAAACAUUCUCUCAUCACAAAGUGAAGUUGGUUUUGACUCAAUGGGGAAUUCCCUCACUGUGGCUGUCUCAUCAUACAGAAGAAACCACAUUGGGUUUUUUUUUUAACUAUAUUUGAUUUUUGCCAAAAAUAACCAAAAAAAAACUUCUAUAAGGAAAAUUACAUCUUUGGGGAUCAAUAAAUUUUUUCUUAUAUAAUCGACUUGAGGCCUUUUGACAUCAGUGUUCAUCUUAGCAGCAGUCUUUAGUGUUAAAAAACAACAGCUUCUCAAAUGUCAGUUUGGAGACACCAUUUAACAUUUAUGUUAAAAUGUCUUUACAGCAGAAAUUAACACAUUCACAGUCUGGUUUAAUCUUUUUUUUCAUUGGCUGAGUGGUUGUUGUCUUUAUUUAAUUAUUAAGAUAUUAAGCCCAAGAGUCAUUUGCAUAACUUGGGGCGCAGCAGUGUUGACUUAAGGUAAAGAUUGAGAGGUGAGGCCAAAAGUUUCAGAAGUGAGAGAAUGAUCCCAGUAAAUGUUACCAGUAAGACAAAGUAAAAGAGAAGUGGAAAGUAAAAAAACACCUCAAGCGAAGGAAACUUUGUUUUGUAACAUCAUCAUCCUUCCUUUAUCAGCAUAGGAGGUUGGAGUGAUAUUUCACUGUUGCAGAGUUUCCUUCUCACUUUGUGGCAUUUAAUGUACCGCACUAGAAAAGUUCAGCAGAAAACUCUUUAGUGGUUCAUUUUUUAUUGCCCACAGCUCACAAUGGUUCCCCUGCGUCACAAUCAUCUCUUCCUGAGAAUUCGAAGUUUUUGGUGUGGCUUUGUUGACUUCAUGUUUGGGAAUAAAUUAGAAGGGAAACAGUGAGAUAGAGAGCGUUUUCAGAUUGUUGUUUCAUUAUAACAGAACCAAUUCAGUUUUAGUGUGAGGUGAUUAUAAGUGCUGUAAAUGGAUCCCAGGGGAACUUUGAGGAAAACUACAGCCUUGCACUUUAAAACAUUGCCUCUAAAACUAAUGGCUGAUCUGAAACAAAGAAAUUAGGUAUGAGAUCUCUAAUCUUAUUCAAGUUUGAGUCGAACCAUAAAAGCAAACAUUUACACCCCUACAGUGCAUGCUUUCAAGGUGUGUGCUCCUGAUAGAGGAUCUACAAAAUUACAUAACUGAGAGAAGUGGUGGCGAAAUCCAUCAUCAUAAAUGUCAUCCUGUUUGAGGGGCUCACAGCGUGAGAUGAUACCAUACCAGUCAGAGCCUGUUUAGACAAAGACUGCAGCCAGACGAAGCCAAAAUAAAUGCAGACAGAGAAACAUCUUCAGAUUUCAUUAUGCUUGAAAUGUACCAAACAAGGUAAAUGAAAACAGGCGUAGCCCAUUGUGUCUGGAUUCAAGGUGCUUGUUUGACGUACGCCUGACUGGGAAAACCCUGUUUCAGUUUCCACUUAGCCAUAAUGGUGCUUGUGAAAUCCUGCUCUUGGCUCUACACUAAACUUCUCUGAUUUGAGGUGCUUUUAUAUGCAACUUAAAAACAGUUUUUACUAGAGCAUAAUUAUAGUGAAACAGUGAAAUUAUAACAAGAGUUAUAAUUGAAGGACGACUAAUAAGAGUACAUGUGGUGCUCAAAGAAGUUUAAUUUGUGGUUUUAAUACUUCAUUACAGGCUAUCACAUUUCACUUCACGACUAGAAAAACUAAUGUGGCGUGCAAACCUAUCUACUGUGAGAUCCCAUCUGAGAUAAAUAGAUUUUUAUAGCAGCUACACAGCCACUUAUUCUUACUUCCUCCCCAUCUUUUAAGACACUGAGGGGUUUUUUAUUCGUGUUUUGAGAUAGCCUCAGGCUGAUCUUAUUCUUCGGGACAGCUAUGGAAGAGCCAGUUUUCUUGUCAUUGCAUGGUUGGGUGUUUGAGUCCAUGUCCUGCUGUCCACUUCCUUCAUACUCAGUUGUUCAUUUUCAGUCAUAAUCAACCAGUAAGGUCAAGCCUUAUGAAGUAGUUUAGUUAGAUUCAGCAGAGGAUGUUCACAGCGUAACCUGACUAUUGCAUGAACUCUUGACCUCAGUAAAUUGAUUUCUGCGAAAAUGGAGGGCAUGUGCUGCAAUCGAAGCCAUCCAGUGAAAGUGUUUUGUGUUAUACACUUUGCAACCUAAUAGAAAAAGACAGGGCUGUGUCUUGAUAUUGUAAGACAGCUAUCUUGCUCUUUCAUGAUUACAAAUAUAUCGGCUCACCUGUAAGGCUGCAGAGGGGACACCAUAGUCAGGCGGUGCAAUGCCAGUAGAUUAUUUGGUAGAAAAAAGAGUUGCACUUGACCCUGAUCAAGUCAACAGACUUAAGUUCUCCAGCUGUUUGUGUUGCCCACAGGCUGUUGGUUUAAAACAAAUAGAGUAGUGGUUUCAGUAAAAAGCUAUUUAAAUUCUCUACUGAAGUAUGCAAUUUAACAUAUUCAAAACAAGUAUGAGUAUUCAUUCGAACAGCCCUAUUCUGCAUCCUAUGAAAAGUUGUCUUAAAUAAAGAAAAAAGUAUUAGAGGUCUGUUUUCUGUUCAUUUGCUUUCAAAGUAAAUGUAUGCAUUAGUGAAAACCAUAGACUGUAUAUACUAUGGACAACUUGGUUUUGCUUCUGUCAUUAUAUGAACUUGAAGCCAAAUCGCUCUCGGUAUUUCCGGGAUUUUUUCCACUUCCCCGCCAAGUGCAGUAGCAUUGUACGCAUUCGGUGGGAGAGUUGCUGUGAUGACACUCUGCUCAAACAGCAUAUGUUUGUAAAAAAUUGUGUGUAUGUGUGUGCCUACAGGCAGGCCACUGAACUUGGAAGCAGGCCAGGUCAGCAGUAAAAGGGUUUAAUUAAUUUAUGUCUGUUGCCGUGGCAACACGUAGCUGGUGCGGCCGUAAGUAGAGCUAAUAUGGAGUUUUUAUAACCAUAACAAAUAUCCUUCUGUAAAAUCUAUUUCAGUAGGCUAUGAAGCACCUGUCAAAUUACUUCUGGCAUAUCCGCGUCAAUGUAUAUUGGCCUAGUCUGAAUGGAGUCAAAGGCCUGAAUUAUGGUCCCAGUCCACCCCUGCCCCCGGGUAAAUGACGCAAUCUUCUUACGCCCAUAGGCUGAAUCAAGUGUCAAUCACAGAAAACAUGAAACCCCCUAAUAACUUUUAAAAAUGGAGCUGCACAUAAAAAGAGGACUUUAACACAAACCAGUCCUACAAUAACUCCAUGUCAACAUCGCAACCAGGGGCACAAAAAUUUUAUGUUCUGAGUAAUAAAUUUCUAAAGUUUGUUCACUACUCCAUGUGGGGAGGUAGGAUUUAUGACCUAUACUGCAGCCUGUCACCAGAGGGUGCUGUUUUCAGGGUGGGCUUCACCCAGCAAGGAGGCAGAUCGCGUCCACUCUAUAUACAGUCUAUGGUGAAAACCCUAUUUAACAGUGAGUGAUGACGCUCAUGCUUAUGCAGUCUUUACCCUUGAAAAACCAGUCGAAUCUCUUCAAAAGUGGUCACCAGAAUCAACAGUGCCGAAUUCCGAAUUUCCUGAAUUCUGUGAUACUUUUUAGAAAGGGCUUUUUCAAAAGCUGGUGCCCUUAAAAGGUCACGCACUUGAUGCCUUAUCGGAGCGAUCAAACAGCAGGACAUCACAAGAGAGUCUGUUUAUGGAAAGAUUAAAGGAGCAUUCAAGUAACUCACAGACUGUGACUUCUUUCAUUGCAAAACUUCAGGUAAACAGAAAGCAUGUUGCCACAGCUAUAGUGUUACAUCACUUCAUUCUUGGGUAUCGGGAACUUCAAAAUCCCCAGAAGUAUUUCCAUCAGUAUUUGCCCUCCUCUGUGUGUGCUGUGUGAGCUCAAAACCUGUUUUUCAUUUAAGGAUUUGUGGAUGUGAUAACAAAGCAGAAGGAAUGAGCAGGAAGACCUCAGCGGAAGAAAAGCCAACUUGAUAUGGAUAUCUUAAAACAUGUGCUGCCUGAUUAAAUGAUCCAGUGAUUAUCAUUGCUGUAAUUUAAACAGGCCCUGAUAUCCAUCAAAGAAAGAAAACACACAGAAGAAAUGCUCGACUAAACAGAAAAAAUAUGAGCGAGCAUGGAAAUGAUUCUUAGUCACUUCCUUUUUCUCUCUCUCUUUCUUGUCUGCCGUUAUCCUGCCCUCAGGUUCAGUUCCUUCAAUGAACUGGUAUCGGUAUUUACAGUGCUGGCUGGACCGCAUAUUAUACUAUUGCAAAAUCCACCCCCUCAUCACAUGAACCCCUUACAUGACUGAUCCAGAUUUGACAUGGUUGUGGUUUUUUGACACUCUACAGAUUGGAGUUUCCUUUCCAUCACUGCCAGGAAGACUCUAAUUUCUAUUUGGAAUGAGCGUCAAAAGCAGCAGAAACCAGAUCUCCCUCAGCUCCAUAUGUGUUGUAAUCUUGGUGAAAGCAAU